rnacentral:rRNA from 1 species
GAUUGAACGCUGGCGGCAUGCCUAACACAUGCAAGUCGAGCGGCAGCGCGGGGGCAACCCUGGCGGCGAGCGGCGGACGGGUGAGUAAGGCAUCGGAAUCUGCCCUGAUGUGGGGGAUAACGUAGGGAAACUUACGCUAAUACCGCAUACGACCGAGAGGUGAAAGCGGGGACCGAAAGGCCUCGCGCAGCAGGAUGAGCCGAUGUCCGAUUAGCUGGUUGGUGGGGUAAUGGCCUACCAAGGCGACGAUCGGUAGCUGGUCUGAGAGGAUGAUCAGCCACACUGGGACUGAGACACGGCCCAGACUCCUACGGGAGGCAGCAGUGGGGAAUAUUGGACAAUGGGGGCAACCCUGAUCCAGCAAUGCCGCGUGUGUGAAGAAGGCCUUCGGGUUGUAAAGGCACUUUUAUCGGGAGCGAAACGCGCCGGGUUAAUACCUUGGCGAACUGACGGUACCCGAGGAA